UGGGGAGUGACGUCAAAUCAUCAUGCCCCUUACUGACCUGGGCUACACACGUGCUACAAUGGGCGGUACAAAGGGUCGCGAACCCGCGAGGGGGAGCCAAUCCCAAAAAAGCCGCUCUCAGUUCGGAUUGCAGGCUGCAACUCGCCUGCAUGAAGCCGGAAUCGCUAGUAAUCGCGGAUCAGCAUGCCGCGGUGAAUACGUUCCCGGGCCUU
rnacentral:rRNA from 1 species